UGCCGGAUACUGUGGCGGAUGAUCUGGACUAAAGGCUCAUAACCUGAAGGCCGCAGGUUCAAAUCCUGCCCCCCGCAACCA
rnacentral:tRNA from 1 species